CAGUAGCCUGUCUGCACACCACUCUUCUGUGGAACAGCGCUGGCUUUCCACAGACACCCACAGACUUUGAGGAAGUAAUCUGACUGAUAAGAAACACUCAUCUCUGUUCCACGAGAAAAACUACGGCCCAGGUUUCUCAUUACAAAGUCCUGCGCGUGUGUUGGCGGAGCCGCGUUGUUUCCGCAAGUGACAGCAGAACGGACCUGGGGGUGGCGGUGGAUGUGCUGCUUUCUUUCUGCGGCUGAAAGAAUCACCUUGAGAUGGAUCUGACACCGGAGAGUAAUGGGUAGGCGUUGCUGCCGAACAUCUCCACUGGAAAUCACCCAGAGAGCAGUGUGACAGUGGCAUGCUGCGUGUGAAUGGGGGACAGACGGACAGAGUCUGCUUAACGCGCCUCCGAGAUGAGCCCCUAGCCACCCUCCAGACUGCAGGCACCAAACUGGCUUGGCACAGACACCCAACAUGGGAGGAACUCGGCGAAAAAGUUAGAGCCGUUCACAAGAACUGCCAGGAAGAUGCCUGUCAGCACAGGCGCAGUUUGUGCUGGGGACGCUGGGGACAUGUCCAUACCACUUACAGUGUUAGUGUUUCCUUUACAAGCUGACUUUGCUUCACUUAUUCAGUGAUAAUUCGAGCAAUAAUAUGCUUCAUCAUGUUCCCAAUGAUGUUUGUGCUUAUAUUGUGCCACACAAUGCCAAGAUAAUAAACACUGCAACACUGACGUUUCAUGAAACAAAACAAAUGAU